UAACCCGACUCGUUAAGUUAUAAUGUCGCUGGAGCUUAUUGUGUCAUCGUCUUCAAGUAGUCAGACUGUUUUGCUGUAUAUGUAGUUGUUUAUUGUAGUGAAUUUAAGAAGUUAUUAGUAAUUAGUGAAAUGUUGUAGCGUGAAGGAAAUAUCGAACAUAUCCGUACGGAAUGAAAUUCUCCUAAAUCUAUGGUUUUAUAUGGGCAGAUUAUUGAUAGAGCAACAAUAAUGAAGUAGAGAACACUUGAUAUGCAACAGAACUAUUUAACUUAGUUGCUGUAAUUUUCUUAAUACCUUUUAUUCCUGCUAAUUCAAUGUGCGUGGGUAAUCGUUAAAUCGUUUAAAGAGUGUGACAAAUUUAGUCGAUUACCAUAAGUUGGUGGAAGAGUUGGCUAAUAUAUUUCUAAACCAAAACAUGGCUGAUAACUCAUCGUCUUGGGACGACGACCCACAUCUAGAGAAACCUGGUAGGGACUGGCUGGAAUACCUAGCCCUAGCAACAGACUACUUCAGCAUCCCCCUAUGUUUCAUCUCCGUCUUAUGUGACAUCCUCCUCAUAGCCGUAAUAUUGAAGUACAGAAGACUUAAAAACAGAACCAACUUCUACCUAUUAAACUUUGCAAUUUUCCACAUUGUUUACAUAUUGUCCACACCUAUCUUCUAUUGUAUAAUAGAUCUAUUUUACCCAUCAGGUCUAGAAAUACGUUGGUACUGUACUUGGUCGAGGAUAGAAAACUUUGGAAUG
rnacentral:lncRNA from 1 species